GGUUUAUAGAUAUUAUCCAACAGAGAAAAGUAUAGGUAAGAACUUUAAACAAAGCAGUAUAUGUAGGUUCAGCGGACAUCCUGGAAUAUUUUUGAUGCAGACAACAUAUAUAAACACAGGCAGACAUAAUUACAUAUACACAUACAGUGUAUUCAUAAAUAUAGAUAAAAUAAAAGCAUUAAAAUCAAUAAAAAUAUUAUUUAUUUUAAAAAAACUUUUUUUUUUUUACUUUUCCAUGCAACGUGG
rnacentral:misc_RNA from 1 species